CAAUAGCGUAUAUUUAAGUUGCUGCAGUUAAAAAGCUCGUAGUUGGAUUUCGGGUGGGAAUGGCCGGUCCGCCGUUUCGGUGUGCACUUGCUACGCCCACCUUGCUGCCGGGGACGUGCUCUUGAGUUCACGCUCGGGACACGGAGUCGGCGAGGUUACUUUGAGUAAAUUAGAGUGUUCAAAGCAGGCCUACGCUCUGAAUACAUUAGCAUGGAAUAACACGAUAGGACUCUGGCCUAUCUUGUUGGUCUGUAGGACCGGAGUAAUGAUUAAGAGGGACAGUCGGGGGCAUUCGUAUUUCAUUGUCAGAGGUGAAAUUCUUGGAUUUAUGAAAGACGAACUUCUGCGAAAGCAUUUGCCAAGGAUGUUUUCAUUGA
rnacentral:rRNA from 1 species